ensembl:processed_transcript Eldr Egfr long non-coding downstream RNA
UGAGACGGCCGAGAGUUUGAGCGCCAAGGCUCUCUCUCCACAGGGGACUCUGCAACCUGACUAGGUGCUCCUUCCCUGCGCAUAGUAACAUUCCAGGGAGCUGCCUGGGGAAGCUUAACGCUCGAUGCGGGUGGUAGGAAUGUAUCAUGGUGGGAGAGUCAUGGCAGCAGGCAGCUGGAACAGGACACUAAAUAAUAACACCUUCAACUACAAGCAGAAGUCAAGGAGAACAGGAAGCAGUGAGUCUAUGAUGUCUGAAGACCCACUCGUAAUAAUGUCCUUCCUCAGCAAGGCUAUACCACCAUCCCAAACAGUGUUCAAAUGCCCGACCAAACAUCACAGUGGAGGUGGGAUAAGAAUAUCCAGAAGUAGUUUUCUUUUCUUGGAAAAAGUGCAGCAGUAUAUACCUGUCUCAAUUCUGGAGAAGUGUAGGGAUUCCCAGGUGCUAGGCAUUGUGGGAACCCUUUUCUGUCCCUGAGUGACAGAGGGACAAUAUCCAUGUGGGUGCUUUAUUCCCAUGUUGGCAGCUAAUGGAGCUGUGAGAGUUCCUCUUUCAAACUUUGUCCAGACUACCAUCCCAGCCAAGAUUCUUCUGAUCCUCUCACCGCCCACAUGCUAACUCCUGCCAGGAAACAGCCAAGAAACCUAUAAAGGCUGUCCAGGGAUCAUGAGGACUUCCUACCAGCUAAGCCACAGCCUUGUCCUCAGGUUACAGCCUCUGUGGGUGGCAGUAGGGGUGGCUUUUUGUUUUGUUUUCUGCAGGGUCCCUGAAGUCAGCUCUGGAAAACUGAAAAGAGUGCUGCGUGCAGAAUGCUUCGCUGGAUGUUUUUUCCUCUAUUCUCACAGACAACUGGAACCUUGAGAGCCAAGGGAGAUUGUGGAGAGGAUGUGAGCAGAUGGCCGCUGAGGAUAGCUGACCGGGUGGGCUGGAACCUAGGCCAGGACCUGCCACCUGAGGAUUGUGCCUGCGAUGUCCAUAUGAUUGUGAACAGCCAAACAGGGAGCUCUGCUCUAAAGUUGAAAAUGAAAAGAGAUAAAGCCUUAAGCACAGAAGAAUAUUUUGUCUUUGGUGAAAAGAACAACUUAAGAUUAAUUUUAUUUUUUAUGCUGUAUAUGCGUGUGGGUAUGUGCAUGCAAAUUUGGGUGACUCCAAAGGUCAGAGCAUCAAAUCACUUGGAGCUGGGAUUAUAGGCAAAUGAAAGCUGCCAAGCAUAGGAAUCUAACGAAUGUCUUCUGUAUGAACAGAGAGUACUCCUUACUGCAGAGCCAUAUUUCCAGCUUAAGGAGGGCUUUUAGAAAGAAGAUUGAUAGAGAAUACAAACUUAAUAGUUUGAUGUACUAAAAAGGUUAAUUUUUAUUCACUAUAGACACUAGAAAUAAUAUUUACAAUGUAUAUAAUGCAUGUGAUUAUAGAACUAGAAGUAACAAUAUUAAAUAUAAAUAAAUUAUUGUAAGUCAGAUAAGAGAGAUGGAAAUCCCAGUAGGAAAAACACAUUAAAGUAACUAAAAUGUGGACAAA